UCAUGAAGGAUAUUGCAUAUCAUCAAUACACCAGGCCAACUUCUAUCCAGGCACAGGCCAUGCCAAUUGCUCUUAGUGGAAGGGAUCUACUUGGGUGUACUGAAACUGGUAGUGGGAAAAUUGUAACUUUCACAAUUCCUAUGAUACAGCAUUACAUGGCUCAAUCUCCUAUUUAGUGUGGUGAUGGUUCUCUGGCAUUAGUUUUGGCUCCUACUAGAGAACUUGUUCAACAAAUAGAGAAAGAGAUAGCUUAAAGGCUUUAACAGAUCUCGAGUCAUUGAAAACUGCCAUAGUUGUGGGUGGAACUAACAUUGAAAUGCAGUUUUUCAGAUCUUGAAAAGCCACAAGGUGAAUUCGAUGGAAAAGCAUGUGCAGCCAUUGAGCAGAGUAGUCUUAUUUCUCUCUAUGAUACUAUGUUCCUCCAGCUUGAUGUGACUUCAUCCCAACUUCUUGUGAAUGAUGGCUUCUUUAGGGAUGCAGGUUUCAGAAAACAACUUUCAAACACUGUGCACUCACUAUUGGAUUUAAGAGUUAUCCUCAUUUUCAAUGAAAAUGAUGCUGUUAGUACUAGGAAGACACCAUAUGAGGUAUCUUGAUUUUCCUUAUCACCUUUUAUCUAUUGUUUUCUUUACUUCUAUUAAUUUUAAAAGUUCUAUUAGUACUUCAUAUGUUAUAUUUCCAAUUUUUUGGUAGAUAUAUACUCACAGAUCUAAUUAGGAAGACAUAUACUACUUGUAGCGAAUGUUGUAUAGAAUUUGAGGUGGAUGGACAAUACAAGUUAAACUAGAACUUGUAGUAUAUGAUUUGAAUAUUUUUCCGUGCUUCACUAUUUGUGAAUGACUUAUAUAUGGUUUGCUUUGACAUAGGCAAUGAUUCUUCCUGCUUAGCUUCCAGAUUAGUUGCUCUAUAGAAUUUGAAUAUUUCAGCUUAUAGCAAAAGUUCAAGUAUGGAUCUUUAUUAUAUUCCAUCAUAUUAUUCCAUUUUCAGAUAUCUUAAACUAACAAGAUUCUUAUUUCAGGUGUUAGGUUCUAACUAUCUUAGUGUGUUACUUGAGGCUAUUGAUAUAAGGUCAUAUCCUUGAGAGAAGAGACGGAUAGUAAAAAUGAUUCAAAUAAUGGUGAUGUGGCUUCAGAAGAUUCUCCUUCGUGCCCAAAAAGGUGGGAAACCAAAAUGACUUUGGUUUUAAUCUAGUACUUGAUGAGUCAGCAUGUGCUGGAUCAAACUCAAAAUAUAAGUUAGCAUCGCAAAAAACUAAUUGCCUGGAAGUUGCUUUUGGAGACACCAAGAACGCAGGUUAUGGAAUCGGUAGCCUUCUGGUAGAUGCGGUCGCUGGGUGGCGCUAUAUGUAUGGAGUUAGUAGUCCUUUGGCAGUAAUAAUGGGAAUUAAAAUGUGUUGGCUCCCAACUUCUCCUAGAUGGCUACUUUUAUGUGCUAUAUAGGGAAAAGGGGAUGGAGAGAAUUUGAAUAGCACCAUAAUUCAUUAUAUGUUCCGUCUUCGAGAUCAAGCUGUUGAUGACUCAGCUCAUCGGCAAGUGGAUGAAAUUCUGGCAAAGCUUGCUUAUGUGGGUGAAGAAAAAGAGGUUACUUUUGGAGAAAUGUUCAGAGGAAAAUGCUUGAAAGCCCUUACCAUUGGUGCAGGAUUGGUCUUGUUU